AUUUGAGUGGAGCUUGCAAAAUAUUAUGAAUACCGUGUAGACAAUGCUCUUAAAGUGACAGUGCACCAUUUGUAAAUGAGAUGAACAGCAUCAAAUCGGUA